rnacentral:rRNA from 1 species
AUGGCCACCACCGUCACGCUGCUGCUCGGGGCAGCCUCGUCCCCAGGCCUCGCCGCCGGUGAUGGCGCCGCGCGGGACGGCUUCCAGCGCUCCCGCCUGCUGCCCAAGAAGCGGCAGCAGAGGCAACGCUGGGUGCUCUGCUCGCUCACGUACGGCUGCCUCGGCCUCGGCGAGCCGGGGGAGGCGGGCGGCCGGAGCGCGGCGUCCCCGGUGUACUCCAGCCUCACCGUCAGCCCCGGCGGCGACGCGGCCGUCGCCGUCGUCUCGUCGGAGCAGAAAGUGUACGACGUGGUGGUGAAGCAGGCGGCAUUGCUCAAGCGCCAGCUGCGCCCGCAGCAGCAGCAGGCGGCGCCGCCCGCCGUCGCCAGGGAGAUGGACGCGCCGCGCGGCGGGCUCGGGGAGGCCUACGCCCGCUGCGGCGAGAUCUGCGAGGAGUACGCCAAGACCUUCUACCUCGGGACCUUGCUGAUGACGGAGGAGCGGCGGCGCGCCAUAUGGGCCAUCUACGUGUGGUGUAGGAGGACAGACGAGCUGGUGGACGGGCCGAACGCGUCGCACAUCACGCCGCAGGCGCUGGACCGGUGGGAGAGGAGGCUGGAGGACCUCUUCGCCGGGCGCCCCUACGACAUGCUCGACGCCGCGCUCUCCGACACCAUCACCAAGUUCCCCAUAGAUAUUCAGCCCUUCAAGGACAUGAUCGACGGGAUGCGGACGGACCUUAAGAAGGCGAGGUACAAGAACUUUGACGAGCUCUACAUGUACUGCUACUAUGUUGCCGGCACCGUGGGGUUGAUGAGCGUCCCGGUGAUGGGCAUUGCGCCGGAGUCCAAGGCGACAGCCGAGAGCGUCUAUGGCGCCGCUCUGGCUCUUGGCCUCGCGAACCAGCUCACCAACAUACUCAGGGAUGUUGGAGAAGAUGCAAGAAGAGGGAGGAUAUAUUUGCCACAAGACGAGCUUGCGGAGGCGGGGCUCUCCGAUGAAGACAUCUUCAAAGGAGUCGUCACCGACAAGUGGAGGAAAUUCAUGAAGAGGCAGAUCAAGAGGGCGAGGAUGUUCUUCGAGGAGGCGGAGCGAGGGGUGACUGAGCUUAGGAAGGAGAGCCGGUGGCCGGUUUGGGCCUCUCUGUUGUUGUACCGGCAGAUCCUCGAUGAGAUCGAAGCGAAUGACUACAACAACUUCACCAAGAGGGCCUAUGUUGGGAAGGCGAAGAAGGUGCUUGCGCUCCCUGUCGCGUACGGGAGAUCGCUGCUCUUACCGUAUUCACUGAGAAAUAACCAGACCUAG